AUCUCUGCGUGACUUCCGCCAGCGUUUAGAGCGUUUUCGGGGUCCGAGUUGAAGAGCAAAACCAAGUGAAGGAAACUUCACUAAGUUCAGGGUGACAAGGGAGGAAGUACAGAGACUGCACUUUAAAUUCUGGAUGACAGACCUAUCAGGACUGAGUGGACCUUUGAGUGACAAGAUGGGGGUGUUCCAAAGAGACCAUGGCAGCCUGCAGCUAGGACUUUAAUUGAACUAUUGGCAUGGCUCAAUCCAUUGACCUGUUUUGGUUCCUGAUGAAGUUUUGUUAAUUUAAAUGAGAAAAAUAAGGACAGUGAAAAACAGAGCGCUUAAAAAGCACUGUCUGGAUAUCUUCAGAGGGAAAAAGGAGAAAGUUAACUGAAUUGGUGACACUUCGGGUCUCUCACAGAGGAAGGGAAAUGGUUAUUCUUGAUAUUUUGAGCAAACUCUUCUUCUCUGAUCAGUGCCCAGAACAAGGAAACAGACCUUCUCUUUCCAGUACCUCCUAUCUAUCUAGAUAAUACGGAAGCCAGGGAGAAGAAUGGGAACCCAAGAUCUAUGAGCCCUUAUGGCAUAUGAAAAGUGGGUGUUAUCUGAAAAGUAGAACUCUAGAUGAAACCAGGCCUUUCCCAACAAUGGAGCCCAGGACAAUGCUGUCUUCAAUGUCCAUACCAUUAGACUUGUUAUAGAUGAGUUUCUAUAAUGAUGGCUUUCUGGUUAAUUAAACCUUCUGAAUGAUUCUGUGUAACACUGACUUCUGUGAUUCAUCACAGAACAAGUCUUCCUUCUUUCAUGGAGUAUUACUGUUUUCAGUGACUAUAUUUGGUUGUUUACUCUUUUUGGCACCAAUCACCCAGUGAAUCAACAACCAGAGUUGCAAACAAAUUACCCUCAUUGUCUUUUCCGAGUCCCUUAAUUUACUUUAUUUUUCAUUUGUUGCAAAUGUCAUUGUUUCUGCUAAUGUUGUUUUUUAACAUCUGCCAAGAUAAAAAAUAAAAAAAUCACUUGUAAUCCUUGUAGCUUGUUUUCUUCACGAGUCAUAGA
rnacentral:lncRNA from 1 species